GGCAGGGAUGGGCUGCCACUGGAUCCAUUCACCCACUGAGCUGACAGACGUCUGGAUUGUUCCAUUCGGGGGCUGCUGGGACGUUGUUGCCAGCAUUUAUCUACGACUCUCGUCGCACGCCGAGUACAGGGGCAAGUGCAGACAUGCCUCGCCUCGCUCCCGGUUUUAGAGGUCUGUCGCCACCAGAUGCUCUGCUGUUGAGACCUUCACACGGGUGUCUUUUAUCCUGAGGCCCAGGAAGCUGCCUUCUGUUCGUGGUUGGACACUUCUUAUGGGUGUGUUUGCGUUUGUCCAGUGUUUUGCUACUUCCAUUGAGCUGAUCCUGUGGAUUUUGUCCUUUACUCCAUGAGGAUGGGCUAUGAUAUUCGUUGAUGAUUGCAUGUCUGGCCGACUGACAUUCCUGGGGGUAAAUAUUUGGUUGUGGUACAUGAUGUUGCCGUACUUGGGUUACGGAUCUUUUGUUGAGAAUUUGACAUCUCACGGUUCACAAGGGACACUGAUCUCUAGUCUCCUUCGUGACAUCUGUGGCUUUGCUGUCGGGACACUCACCUCACAGGUGGGGUGGGGAAGCUCCUUGUGUUUUUUCCGAGUUUGUGAGUGAGUCGUGUCAUGGACAGAAUGCUCAGUGGAGCUGCUGGGCUCUUCCUCUGCAUGAAAACUUCAGAUCUCGUAUCAGUUCGAUUUCUUGCUACAGUCUAUUCUGAUUUACUGUUUCCUUCUGAGUCCAUUUACAUGAUUUGUGCCUUUCUAGGAACUGGCCAGGGUUGUUUUCCUAGCAUUCCCUGAGAGUCCUGAUGCUUAGUGCUGUGGGGGUAGGGGUAGCGCCGUCCCCCUUCCCGCGUGAUUUUGGUGAUGUGUGUGUUCUUUGUUGGCCAGUCUAACUGUGGGUUUGUCAACUUCGUGAUCUUUUCAAAGAACUAACUUUUGGGUUUUCUGUUUUCUAUUUUGCUGAUUUUCCUUUUUCUUCUACUUCAUGUUUUGUUUGCUCUUUUCUCUAGUUUCUUAAGAUACAGGCCUUUCGGGCGCC